UACGGAGGGUGCGAGCGUUGUCCGGAAUCACUGGGCGUAAAGGGCGCGUAGGCGGCGCGGAAAGUCAACGGUGAAAGCUCGGGGCUCAACCCCGAGUCGGCCGUCGAUACUUCUGUGCUCAAGCACUGUAGAGGCAGGUGGAAUUCCUGGUGUAGCGGUGAAAUGCGCAGAUAUCAGGAGGAACACCGAUGGCGAAGGCAGGUCUCUGGGCCACUACUGACGCUGAGAAGCGAAAGCGUGGGGAGCGAACAGG
rnacentral:rRNA from 1 species